UCACGCCCUUCUCCUGUCAUCACUGCUGUUCAGAAAAUAAAUGUUCUUUUCAUAAAUAUUGCUGACAUGUCAGCUUGACUGCCAUCCAUACUGUGUUGACGUGACAACCUAAUGUUUCUGUUGGUAUGGGAACGUUUCUGUUUCUUUCUUCAGAACAAACUGUCAGGCUGGGAAAGAUGUCGCACAGAAACGCAGCAGAGGAAAACAAACUAUUCAAGAGGGCGGCCAUUUUGUAGGCGCUCUGCUGAUGCUCUCAUAUUGUUGAAGGGCGGAGCUUCCCGAACGUCGACCUGAAACAGGACAGACUUGUGUCAGAAGAGCGCAGUUCUUCCAGGUUCCAGCCCGGUUCCAGCCCGGCCCGGUGAGUCCUGCUACAGCUGCUGUAGACACAACAAACCAACCAGACUGAGCUGCUUUUUAUUCUACCUGCACAAUUUAGUGUUUAUAAAACUAAACCUUCUAUUUUCUCAGAUUCCCUUAGAGGAAUUUUUUUUUCUGCAUUCUCUUGUAAUGAAGCAUUUACUCCUCGGUUUCUGCAGCAGGUUGAAUACUGAAAGUUUUACGCUACAAUAUAAAGUUUUUUAAUGUAGGAAUUACAUGUUAGUAGCUUGUUUGUGAGUUAUUUGAAGUUUUUUUAAUCUUUUUUUUUGGGAUAAAUGCAGCAGAAACGUUCAAAAUGCUGUAGUAAAACCAUUCAGACGUGAGUUUUCCAUCUACUCUAAAACAUAAACACGACAGAAAACAAUAUUUAGAUUUUUUAUGAGAUAUUUAAUAUUACAAUCUGACUGUUUUGGUUUGUCUUUUAGUGUGAAUUGUUAAUAAAAGGUUGUUUUCAUGUCCAGUCUCAUCUGAAAGAUAUUAUUUAAACUCAGUUUGAAUAAUAAACUGCGUUUGUUCAUUUCUGUGAAACAAGUUUUCACAGAAAUGAACAUUUGUACAAUUUUAAACUGACAUUUGUUAUGAAUGUGACUGUAUACAAAAUUAUGAGGCAGUAUUCACGCCAUAAUAAAAGAUAAAUAAAAUUA